CACAGAGAGCACUGAGAUUAGGCUCAAACACCUGCAUUUUUGAGCUGCCUUACUCAAUAAAGCAACAAAGAGACUAAGUUUGUAUGCAGCUUUAUUAGCUUAAUGACAUAUUUUUAUUUUUUAAUAUUGUGUGCAAACUGAUAUGUGACAUGUAUUCAUGUCAAAAUAACAUGCAAAACAGGCAACCCGCCCACAUUUGAGUUUAGGUUCCUACAAAUCAAUGUUUAGGAAUGCUUGACUUUAUGAGGAAACUAUGCAGGGUUACAAUUAUAGCUUGGCUCGGAUAACCAAAUACCCAUAAACAAAUCAGAAUUCCCCAGGCCCACAAUAAUUGACAUAUCAAAAAUGUAUACUGUGGGUUGUAGUUAUGAUGUACACAGUAAUUGGACAUUUUUUAUUUUAUUUUUUUAAAUCAUUUUGGCAUACAACAAGAAAAAAUACGUUUCCCUCUGUGUCCUUUAAUUAUUUUACAUAAAAGAAACCAUCAUGCUUUUAAAAAAAUCAGACAUAUGAGCGGGAGAGAUGUGGGUUUGUAACAUCCAUAUGUUAGGUAUGGGGAUUAGGGAUUGGUUCUGGGGCUAUAGUAAAGCACUGGGGAGAGAGAUCCAGGUCUCUUACGGCUGAUAAGAGGAUAAGUCAUGUCCCUCUGACUGCAGGCUCUAGUCGGAGUCACUGCUGCAGGAGCUGCUUGAACUCUGGAUGGAGGAGAAACAGAAAAGGAACACCUUUAAUUCAACAUAAAUUAUUUCAAUUGAACAGAGAUUUUUUUUACUAUGGAGCACUUUCAAUUAGUUUUAGACUAAAAAGAUCUCUUACCCCAUGACUCUGCUUCCCUUUCUUGUGACAACCCCCAUGCCAAUGCCCAUGCUUGUGCCUGUGCCUGCAUCCAUGACCGUGCCCAUGACCAUGACCAUGACCGUGCCCAUGACCAUGACCAUGCCCAUGACCAUGCCCUCCGCGACCAUGCCCUCCGUGACCGUGCCCUCCGUGUCCUCCAUGACCGUGCCCUCCAUGACCGUGACCUCCACGAUGCCCGUGACCGUGACCAUGAUCAUGACCAUGAUGUCCGUGCCCAUGAUCGUGCCCAUGCCCAUGACCUCCAUGGGGACCCUGUACUGGAUAAGAUGGUGGCACAGGGUAGCAGGUGGAGGGGGGCUGGUAGGGAGGGCAUGAUGGGGCCAUGAUGGCACCAAUGGUGCACCCGCCAGGGUGUCCCCCACCUGGCAUUGGCGGUUCGCACCCACUUGGGUUCACGUUGUAGCCAGAGGGAUGCUGGUUUCCUAUACAAGGAGAGAUUUAUAUAGAUUACGAGCCAAAUUACCUACACUAUAAAUUGAAAGAGAGGUAGAAACAAAUUAAAUGGGUCUGCAUUUACAAACAUUUACCUUGGUUGUGACCCCACAUCUCGAUGUUUCAGAUCAAAACCCUGAAAUGGAAAAAAUAUUUAUACUUGUUUUAAUGAUUUAUUUAAAAUAUUAUAUUUUGUCCCCGCUUUCACUAGUAUAGAACCUAGAGUUAGAGAUGGAGGAGGUCCUUGUCAACAUAUUGCUACAUUCAGUCACAUCUAACCAGUCUGACUGGUUGUGGAAAAUGCUAUCUGCAAACAUAUGGAACAAUAGUGUCCUAGAAAGAUGUGGCUGCUGGCUGCACACUAAGACCAAUGUUCCUUACCAGGGAAAGUAACAGUGGGGUGUUGGCCAACAUGUUUUUUUUAGCCUUUUGCAGUGCUUUUUAUUCAUGUAGUUGCCAGGUAAAUACUGUCUGCAAAGAUACCUUUAUAAACAGUUUUUCUCAGGUACUUAUAAAAGAUAAUUGCUUUGACAUUAAUGUCAAGAUACUAUAUAUAAUAUGGUAUUUCAAUGGAUUUCCACUGGCUGGAGCAUUGAAAGCACUGAGGUAAUCAGUAAGCACCUAAGUUACUGAAUUAAUUGAUAUUUUACGCAGGUACUAAGUAUUUAUCCCAGUAUUUGCUGGUAAAUUAAGCACUGACACGGGUCAAAUAAACUACUUUCUUGAUUACUUAAGAAUUAGCAUUAUAGCAGAAAUUGUACUUUUCCAAAUGGAAUACAAACAUUUUAGCUUUGUUUUGUUUUUGGUCUUUUAUUUCAUCUGGAAUAAACAUUUAGUAAACGUAUCCCUAAGUAGAUUAAAAAAAUACUUAUUAACAAUUAAAGAUAUACAUAGAACAUAUUUCCCUGCAUUGGCAAUUUUAGUCUCCAUAGUUCAAAGUACUGUAACACAGCAAUCAAAGUGCUAUCUGUUAAACUCUAUCAAUCAUGUUUUACAUGUUUCUUUAAAAAAAAACAUUGUUUAAAAAAAAUAGAUAUUGUCAAAAUAAGGCAUAUUUAGAAAUAGUGUACUUACUGAGAUGUAGUUCCUGUCAGGGUUCUGUCUGCAUGGCUUCCCAGAGAAAUAACUCGUAAUUAUACUGUAGAGAGACACACCUCGCUUCCUUUAACACUCCCC
ensembl:lncRNA